rnacentral:lncRNA from 11 species
CGCCUUGCAAUCCAUCGCUGUGUCUGCCCGCAGGAGCUGAGCGGCAUCUGGAGGCGCAGGUGAUGCGGCUGCAGGCGUCCAGCAACGUGGCUUUGGGCCGCCUCUCUGCCCUGGAGUCAGGAGUCCGGUACCUGAGCCAGGAGCUGCGGGCUGAGAGGCUCUUGUGGAGCAGCCGCUACCUGGAGCUCCUGCGAGAGCAGCAAGGCCUGGCUGUGCAGUUGCAAAGACAGGAGCAAAGGCUGUGGUCGUCAAACUUGGAAGGAUUGAGUGAAGCCCCCCAGGAGAUGCUGCGCCAGAGUUGGGACCCCCAUGAAGAGGAGGAGGAGGAGGA